GGUCAUGAGCUCCAGCACCAAGCCCCGGCUCGCUGGACGGCAACCCUCCCGCGCGGCGGGGUGCCCCGGGUGACGACCAGGCCGUGGACCCCACGGCAACGGCGCGGA
rnacentral:ncRNA from 2 species